rfam:Anopheles funestus strain FTMOZ unplaced genomic scaffold supercont1.115, whole genome shotgun sequence.
CCUUAUCUGGAUCGGGUUUCGCUGGCUAACGUGUUGUAAAAGCGAACAAGCGAGUAAAUCUUCAAUUCGUUGUCGACGAAACCUGCACGGAAUAAGG